rnacentral:rRNA from 1 species
GGUCAAGUUAUUAAGGGUGCAGGGCGGAUGCCUUGGCACUAGGAGCCGAUGAAGGACGUGAUAAGCUGCGAUAAGCUUCGGGGAGUUGCACGUAAACUUUGAUCCGAAGAUUUCCGAAUGAGGAAACUCACUUAGAGUAAUGUCUAAGUAUCAUUAAGUGAAUACAUAGCUUAAUGAGGGGAACUCAGGGAACUGAAACAUCUAAGUACCUGAAGGAAGAGAAAGAAAUUCGAUUCCGUAAGUAGCGGCGAGCGAACGCGGAUUAGCCCAAACCAAUAAAGUUUUCUUUAUUGGGGUUGCGGACAUAUCAUAACGAAGAGGUAUCGUAAUUGAAGAGGUUUGGAAAGACCCACCACAGAAGGUAAUAGUCCUGUAUGUUAAACGAGAAGACUUUAGAUAUGAUCCAGAGUACCACGGGACACGUGAAACCCUGUGGGAAGCAGGAGGGACCACCCUCCAAGGCUAAAUACUACCUAGUGACCGAUAGCGUAUAGUACCGUGAGGGAAAGGUGAAAAGAACCCCGGGAGGGGAGUGAAAUAGAACCUGAAACCCUGCACUUACAAGCUGUGGAAGCACAUUUCUUGUGUGACCGCGUACUUUUUGUAGAACGGGCCAACGAGUUACGUUAAGUAGCAAGGUUAAGCACUUAAGGUGCGGAGCCGUAGCGAAAGCGAGUUUUAACUGAGCGUUCAGUUACUUGACGUAGACCCGAAACCGGGCGACCUACCCAUGAGCAGGAUGAAGCGAAAGUAAAAUUUCGUGGAGGUCCGAACCCACGAGCGUUGAAAAGCUCGGGGAUGACUUGUGGGUAGCGGUGAAAUUCCAAUCGAGCCCGGAGAUAGCUGGUUCUCCCCGAAAUAGCUUUAGGGCUAGCCUCAAGGUGAGAGAUACGGAGGUAGAGCACUGAAUGUCCUAGGGGGUAUUGCACCUACCGAAGACUAUCAAACUCCGAAUGCCGUCAUCUUAUACUUGGGAGUCAGACUGUGGGUGAUAAGAUUCAUAGUCGAAAGGGCAACAGCCCAGAUCGUCAGCUAAGGUCCCUAAAUGUAAGUUAAGUGGUAAAGGAUGUGGGAUUGCACAGACAACCAGGAUGUUGGCUUAGAAGCAGCCACUCAUUCAAAGAGUGCGUAAUAGCUCACUGGUCGAGUGAUCCUGCGCCGAAGAUUUCCGGGGCUAAAACUUACUACCGAAGCUACGGCAUCAGUAAUGAUGGGUAGGGGAGCUUCCCAUACGGGUUGAAGCAUGACCGUAAGGACAUGUGGACAGUAUGGGAGUGAGAAUGUUGGCAUGAGUAGCGAGAUGUGGGUGAGAAUCCCACAGGCCGUAAACCCAAGGUUUCCAGGGGAAGGUUCGUCCGCCCUGGGUUAGUCGGGACCUAAGCUGAGGCCGAAAGGCGUAGGUGAUGGACAACAGGUUGAUAUUCCUGUACUACCGAUAACCGUUUGAGAGAAGGGAUGACACAGUAGGAUAAGCUAAGCACACUGUUGGUUAUGUGUGCCCAAGCAUUGAGGCAGUCAAAGUAGGCAAAUCCGCUUUGAUAAUGCUGGGAUGUGAUGGGGAGCGAAAUUUAGUAGCGAAGUAGCUGAUUUCACACUGUCAAGAAAAGUCUCUAUCGAGGUUAAAGGUACCCGUACCGCAAACCGACACAGGUGGGUGAGGAGAGUAUCCUAAGGCCAGCGAGAGAACUGUUGUUAAGGAACUCGGCAAAAUGACCCCGUAACUUAGGGAUAAGGGGUGCCACCAUCAGGUGGCCGCAGAGAAUAGGCCCAAGCGACUGUUUACCAAAAACAUAGGUUUCUGCUAAGUCGCAAGACGAUGUAUAGGAGCUGACGCCUGCCCGGUGCUGGAAGGUUAAGGGGAUCUGUUA